GAUGAACGCUGGCGGUGUGCCUAAUACAUGCAAGUCGAGCGAACGGACGAGAAGCUUGCUUCUCUGAUGUUAGCGGCGGACGGGUGAGUAACACGUGGAUAACCUACCUAUAAGACUGGGAUAACUUCGGGAAACCGGAGCUAAUACCGGAUAAUAUUUUGAACCGCAUGGUUCAAAAGUGAAGGACGGUCUUGCUGUCACUUAUAGAUGGAUCCGCGCUGCAUUAGCUAGUUGGUAAGGUAACGGCUUACCAAGGCAACGAUGCAUAGCCGACCUGAGAGGGUGAUCGGCCACACUGGAACUGAGACACGGUCCAGACUCCUACGGGAGGCAGCAGUAGGGAAUCUUCCGCAAUGGGCGAAAGCCUGACGGAGCAACGCCGCGUGAGUGAUGAAGGUCUUCGGAUCGUAAAACUCUGUUAUUAGGGAAGAACAUAUGUGUAAGUAACUGUGCACAUCUUGACGGUACCUAAUCAGAAAGCCACGGCUAACUACGUG
rnacentral:rRNA from 1 species